rnacentral:rRNA from 1 species
AAUCUUCCGCAAUGGACGAAAGUCUGACGGAGCAACGCCGCGUGAGUGAUGAAGGUUUUCGGAUCGUAAAACUCUGUUGUUAGGGAAGAACAAGUAUCGUUCGAAUAGGGCGGUACCUUGACGGUACCUAACCAGAAAGCCACGGCUAACUACGUGCCAGCAGCCGCGGUAAUACGUAGGUGGCAAGCGUUAGCCGGAAUUAUUGGGCGUAAAGGCCGGGCAGGGGGGUUCUUAAGUCUGGUUGGAAAGCCCACGGCUCAACCGGGGAGGGUCAUUGGAAACUGGGAAGCUUGAGUGCAGAAAGGGAGAGUGGAAUUCCAUGUGUAGCGGUGAAAUGCGUAGAGAUAUGGAGGAACCCCAGUGGCGAAGGCGACUCUCUGGUCUGCAAAUGACGCUGAGGCGCGAAAGCGUGGGGAGCGAACA